UGCAAUUCCUGGAACCCACAAUGGUGAAAAGAGAACAAACUUCCACAAGUUGUCUACAUAUACACAUUAAAGAAGAUUACGUCUGGAUUAUGUGAUAGGACAGCAACUGGAGAGCCCAGACCUCAGUAUUGUGGCACAGAUGACAAGAAAGAAUCUGAUAUGAGCUGGAGUCAAAGGUGAACAAAUUCAACGAGGAGAACUGAUGUCUAAUUUGAAAAGGCAACAUAACCAUUUGGGCAAGACCCAUGGUCCCAACUCCAGCAGGCACUCCAGUCUAAGCCACAGGCCAUGUCUACCAGAAAACAGGACUGAAAAAACUCUAGAUGUCCCUUAACAAAAGAAUGGAUAAAGAAAACGUGGUACAUUACACAAUGGAGAAUUACUCAACUGCUUAAAAGAUGAAGUUUAUAGGCAAAUGGAUGGAACUAGAAAAGAAGUCAUCGUGAGUGAGGACCCGUCCAUGAGAAGGAACCCAUAUCUGACGCUGGAAGGAUAACCAAGAACCAGAGACUAGAUAACCCAGAGACCUAGGGUGAAACCAAAAACUCACCAGUCAAGAUAAGUAUCAAUAAAAUUAUUGCUAAUGAUAUUUUUAUUCUGCUAUACUCAUAGAUCAGUGCCUUAACCAGUCAUCAUCAGAAAGGUUUUCUCUGUUAUAAAAUGGGAACAGAUUCAGAGAUCCAUAGCCAAAUAUUACAGGAGAGAGAGAGAGAGAGAGAGAGGGAGAGAGAGAGAGAGAGAGAGAGAAAUCUAAAUGGGAGGUCUUCAUCAAAUCCCUCCCUUCAGAGCUCAGAGAAUCCCUCAGAGAUUGUAAUAGCCAGAGGGGAUAAAAAACAAAAAACAAAAAACAAGAAAACAAAACAAAAAACAUCAGCAGAACAAAGUCUUCUGCAUCAAUUAAGCAAGUUGUAUAUGAGCUCAUAGAGACUGAAGCGGGAAGCACAGGAAGGGUAUGGGUCUGCACCAGGCCUUCUGCAUAUAUAUUGUAGCUAUUUCGUAAUUUUAUGGGACUACUGGGUGUGACGGAAGAGUGGGUCUCUGACUCUUGUGUCUGCUCUAGGGACUUUUUUUCCUCCUGUUGGAUUGGUGUGUUCAACUUUGAUAUGAUAGGUUUUGCUUCAUCUUAUUAUAUUUUAUUUUGUCAUCUUUAAUUUUUAUCUCCUAGAAAUCUGUUUUGUUUUAAUGAGAGAUGGAAAGGGAGUGGGUCCAAGGGGUGGGGAGGUUGGGAGGAACUAGGAGGAAUAGAGAGUGGGAAACUGUAAUCAGGAUAUAUUGUAUGAGAAAAGAAUCUAUCUUAAAGAAAAAACACCUGAAAACUUGAAAUAGUUGUCAAAUUUUAUUCACUAAAAUUAUCUAGGUAUACCCUUUGUGUGUGUGUGUGUGUGUGUGUGUGUGUGUGUGUGGUUUUUCGAGAUCGGAUUUUUCUGUGUAGCUCUUGCUGUUCUGGAACUCACUCUGUAGACCAGGCUGGCCUCGAACUCAGAAAUCCUCCUGCCUCUGC
rnacentral:lncRNA from 1 species